AGUGAACGCUGGCGGUAGGCCUAACACAUGCAAGUCGAACGGCAGCACAGUAAGAGCUUGCUCUUACGGGUGGCGAGUGGCGGACGGGUGAGGAAUACAUCGGAAUCUACUUUUUCGUGGGGGAUAACGUAGGGAAACUUACGCUAAUACCGCAUACGACCUACGGGUGAAAGCAGGGGAUCUUCGGACCUUGCGCGAUUGAAUGAGCCGAUGUCGGAUUAGCUCGUUGGCGGGGUAAAGGCCCACCAAGGCGACGAUCCGUAGCUGGUCUGAGAGGAGGAUAAGCGAGAAGGGGAAGAGGAAGCGGCGGAGAAUAAGAGGGGAGGGAGGAGUGGGGACUAGUGGAGAAGGGGGGGAAGGAAGAUCCGUAAAUGCCGCGGGAGUGAUGAAGGAAGGAGGGAUGUAAAGCUCUUUUACACGGGACGAUACUGACAGUACAGGGAGAAUAAGCUCCGGCUAACUCCGUG
rnacentral:rRNA from 1 species